ACAGUUGGUAAGUAGGAGAGCCAGGCACUCUGAAUCUGGAGCCAGAACACUUCACCUGUAACUUAACCUCUCAGGCAGAAAUCCUUCAUGAAUUUUUGUUGGCUAGAAUUGAAUCAGUAAGAUUGGAGAUUGAGCAAUACUGUAGUGUAUCAUGGGGAGUGACCCUAGGAGUGCUCAAUCAAACCAAAUAGCACAUCUCUUAUCACCCACGUGGAUCUGUACAUGAGAUCCCUAGAAGUUGUUAAUCGUAUAAAGUUUGUAUCCUCUGAACAAUAUCUUCCCAUUUCCCUCACCUCCCAGUCCCUGGGAACCACCAUUCUACUCUCUGCUUCUGGGAGUUUGACUCUUUCAGAUUCCACAUGUGAGUGAGAUCAUGCAGUAUUUAUGUUUCUGUGUCUGGCUUAUUUCACUUAAUGUCCUCCAGAUUCACCCAUGCCUUCACAAACAACUGCGGUCCCACCAUAGACUCAUAGCAGGGAUGGGGGGAUGCCCAGCUCCCAGGCUUCCUCCACAGUCCUCACCACUGCUCCCUGCUCCCCAAGACUGGAUGGUACCUGAGCUGAGCAGUUCCCCUGGCACCUUGCCUCCUUCCCUCCCACUCACUCAGACAUGGUUCUGCAGAACGUUCUCCCUGCAGACAUGGCUCUUCCUGUCACCUUUGGAUGGUACAUUUGAAGCAGGUCUCAACAUGGAACUUGAGGGCACACCUAGGGUCACUCCCCAUGAUACACUACAGUAUUGCUCAAUCUCCAAUCUUACUGAUUCAAUUCUAGCCAACAAAAAUUCAUGAAGGAUUUCUGCCUGAGAGGUUAAGUUACGGGUGAAGUGUUCUGGCCCCAGAUUCAGAGUGGCUGGCUCUCCUACUUACCAGCUGUGCAACACUGGCUACAUUUGAUGAGAGCGGGACCAG
rnacentral:lncRNA from 1 species